rnacentral:rRNA from 1 species
AGUGAACGCUGGCGGUAUGCCUAACACAUGCAAGUCGAACGGCAGCACAGUAAGAGCUUGCUCUUACGGGUGGCGAGUGGCGGACGGGUGAGGUAUACAUCGGAAUCUACUCUUUCGUGGGGGAUAACGCAGGGAAACUUACUCUAAUACCGCAUACGACCCCCUGGUGAAAGCAGGGGAUCUUUGGACCUUGCGCGAUUGUAUGAGCCGAUGUCGGAUUAGCUAGUUGGCGGGGUAAAGGCCCACCAAGGCGACGAUCCGUAACUGGUCCGAGAGGAAGAAUCGACACCUGGGCAGAGAGGAAGGGUCCAGACACCUGCAGGGAGACGCAGUCGGGAAUAUUGGGCAAUGGGGGAGAGCCUGAUACAGCCAAACGGCGUGGGUGAAGAAGGAGUUCGGGUUGUAAAGCGAUUUUGUUGGGAGAGAAAAGCAGCAGGUUAAUACGCCGCGGUACUGACGGUACCCAAAGAAUAAGCACCGGCUAACUUCGUG